CUCAGGAUGAACGCUAGCGGCAGGCUAACACAUGCAAGUCGAGGGGCAUCGUGGAGUAGCAAUACUCUGACGGCGACCGGCGAAAGGGUGAGUAACGCGUGAGCAACAUGCCCGAUAGUGGAGGAUAGUCGAUGGAAACGUCGCGUAAUACUCCGUAAUAUAAGGGACCGCAUGAUCCUUUAUUAAUAGAUUUAUCGCUAUCGGAUUGGCUCGCGUACCAUUAGCUAGUUGGCGGGUAACGGCCCACCAAGGCGACGAUGGUUAGGGGUCUGAGAGGAAGGUCCCCCACAUUGGAACUGAGACACGGUCCAGACUCCUACGGGAGGCAGCAGUGAGGAAUAUUGGACAAUGGCCGGAAGGCUGAUCCAGCCAUGCCGCGUGCGGGAAGACGGCCCUAUGGGUUGUAAACCGCUUUUGUUGGGGAGCAAUAAGGUCCACGUGUGGAUCGAUGGGAGUACCCAGCGAAUAAGCAUCGGCUAACUCCGUGCCAGCAGCGGC
rnacentral:rRNA from 1 species